GAUGGACGCUGGCGGCGUGCCUAAUACAUGCAAGCCGAGCGAACGGACGAGAAGCUUGCUUCUCUGAUGUUAGCGGCGGACGGGUGAGUAACACGUGGAUAACCUACCUAUAAGACUGGGAUAACUUCGGGAAACCGGAGCUAAUACCGGAUAAUAUUUUGAACCGCAUGGUUCAAAAGUGAAAGACGGUCUUGCUGUCACUUAUAGAUGGAUCCGCGCUGCAUUAGCUAGUUGGUAAGGUAACGGCUUACCAAGGCAACGAUGCAUAGCCGACCUGAGAGGGUGAUCGGCCACACUGGAACUGAGACACGGUCCAGACUCCUACGGGAGGCAGCAGUAGGGAAUCUUCCGCAAUGGGCGAAAGCCUGACGGAGCAACGCCGCGUGAGUGAUGAAGGUCUUCGGAUCGUAAAACUCUGUUAUUAGGGAAGAACAUAUGUGUAAGUAACUGUGCACAUCUUGACGGUACCUAAUCAGAAAGCCACGGCUAACUACGUG
rnacentral:rRNA from 1 species